rnacentral:lncRNA from 1 species
AUUUGCAGUCAGAGAGUGAAAGGGGGGGGCAUAGCUAAAGAGAACCUAGCACACAAGGUAACACCCUCCCCUGUUUUGGUGGCUUUUAAAAUGUGGUUUAAAGGACUUGCUGUACCUUAAAUCCCCCAUUUUGCUAUCAGCCUCACCAUGUUAGCAAGCCUGAAUGUCUUUUGUCAUGUAACAACAGCAACUUUUUAAAAAAGAUGUCAGCACUGAGAGGAAGGAAAGAGAAAAAAAGGCAAGUCCACUAAGUCAGGUUGGAUACUUUUACUGCCUAUCUGUUUCACCCAGUCUCUCUCUCCCCCCCUUUGUAUGCAUUUGUGUAUUGACUCCAUCAGAGUUUUUGCCCUUCGCAGGGCUGCUCACAAAGCCCCCUUCCUCCCACUGCUUCCUCCAUGCUUUUGCACCCAUUUAUUUAUUGUGUCAGAAGUGAACCGAGGUUGUAAUGUAUUGGGAAAAUUAUUUAUUUAUUUAUUUAUGUGUGUUUUAGCAGCCAAUGUAUUUCCAUUCUUCAGACACAUUCCAGUCACCCUUGGAGAUUAUGUUUCAGAGAACAAUAAUGACUGCUGCCUUCCAACAUGAUGUUUUAAAAAUAAUCGUCUCGGAGUAAUAUUUAUUUUAAUAACUGCUAUUUUUCCUGCCUUAAACCUACAAGGCGAUAGACGUUAUUGGCCUAAUUUUGUAUUUACAUGAAGUAAUCGGUCAGGGAACUCUCGUGGGUGGAAGAAGUGGUUUUCCUCACAGCAGCUGCAUCAAAAAAGGGGAUUGAGGAGGGGGAGGAAAGGAGAGAAACCAUUAGAACACUUUGCCUCACGUUUCCUCUUUGGCCACAUAGGUUCGCCAAAAGUAUUGGCCCCUUGGUAUCCAGGUCACAUUCCUCAGGCAAACUCAAACAUGGGAGAGAAACUUAAUAAGCAAACACUUUCAAAACCCUUUACAGAUCUCUUGGGAAAUGUCCUUUCUUGGUUAAGGAAUAAAUAUGAAUAUAUUUGCUGGUUUGGAAUAAUUGUCCAGAUCGGUGUAAUCUAGCACUUUGCAAUUCACGCUUUGUACAUCUCUCUCCCACAGUCUGAGACCUGUUUCCUUUCUGCCAGUACCUUAAUAUCUGCUUUGCCCAGGAGUCUGCUGAUGAAGACUUCCUGUUUGUUUUGAGUCACUGCUGGAGUGAUAAAUAUACUUUCUCCUUUAAGAGGAAAGAAACCAGCUGCCCUGAACCAAGAGACAAAAUAUGUAGAAAUUCCACCCAAUGGCCCUCUUAUCAUAGAGCCUUUAUAGAGCCCUACAAAAUAAGCAAUAAAAAAGCUACGACACAGGAAACUGUUUACGCGUUAAAACAUCCCCAAACAUGAAUAGACAUUCGUUGCUUUGCUUUUAAUCCCCUGCCUGUAAUUUUUAAAUAAUCCUGGGACAAAUAAAUACAUCUGACCAAAAAAAAGUCUAGAAACGCAUGCCUCAGUGUAAUACUUGGCUAAAUAAACAAACUGUUUUAGUUGUGGUUUCGUGAUCUGACCACAAGCUUUAAAUCCUGUUUGAGUAUAACUUGGUUUUGCAUGAAACUCUAAUGCUUCUGGAUAAAUGUAUGUUUAUGUUGUCAGCAGCGUCCAGUGUGCUGCUGGGUAAUUUUCCCAUGUAAUUUCUAUUUCCAGAAGAUACGAUAAACCCUCAAAGAUUAAAAAAACACCUUUGGAUAAUUUUAAAAUAAAAAGUGUAUUCAUGGAGCUGUUCAUAUUUCACUUCCUAAUUUUCAAAGAAUGCAGCAGUAUCCUUUGGCCUUAUCUUUUCAUCUCUUUUCAUUAUCUCUUUUCCUACAUACAGAGUCCAAAGGAUAAUCCUGCUCCCAGUCCCAAGAGCAAGGUUCACAUACAAAUCUCUAGUCCCUAACUGUUUUGUGCAGUAUUCAAAAAUUUAUACUCAGGAAUAUCAGAUUCCCUUAUGGUGGGAGAUUACCAAGAUGGCCAUAGUUACCAUAUCAACAGUAAUAGUAAUUCUGGGUUAAAUUGAAAAAGAAUUGAUGCUUUUUGCAUGAGAAGAAAAGACAAAAAAGAGGAUUGUGAUAGAGAUAUAUAUAAUAAUAUGUAUUUCACAAAGAAUAUGGAUAAGGAGAACUUUCCCUCUGUCUUUUGUAAUACUUAAACCUGGGAUCAUCCCCCCAAGAUGAAUGGUAGGAAACCAGACUAAUCAGACAAAAGAGCUAUACAUUUUGGUUUAAAUAUAGGUACAGUAGAUUCUCACUUAUCCAACACUCGCUUAUCCAACAUUCUGGAUUAUCCAACGCAUUUUGUAGUCAAGGUUUUCAAUAUAUCAUGAUAUUUUGGUGCUAAAUUCGUAAAUACAGUAAUUACUACGUAGCAUUACUGCCUAUUGAACUACUUUUUCUGUCAAAUUUGUUGUAUAACAUGAUGUUUUGGUACUUAAUUUGUAAAAUCAUAACCUAUUUUGAUGUUUAAUAGGCUUUUUCUUAAUCUCUCCUUAUUAUCCCACAUAUUCACUUAUCCAACAUUCUGCUGGCCCAUUUAUGUGGAUAAGUGAGACUCUACUGUACUUAAACCUGGGAUCAUCCCCCCAAGAUGAAACCAGACUAAUCAGACAAAAGAGCUAUACAUUUUGGUUUAAAUAUAGGUACUUAGAAAUCCAUAAAAAUAUUUUCUCAAAGACUCAAUUGUCUUUCAGAUAACAGGAAUUGCCUGAAACAGUAUCUUCAAAGGAGAAAUCAAAUGCUUCAUCUAAAAGUAAAGAAAGAAUGCAUCUUCCUCUUUCAGAACAAAUACUGGAUUCAUAUUUUGUUCAUAUGCAAAUCUCUAAUCAAUGAUAAUUUUGCAGUGUUGGGUGGCAACUGCUCUUGCAGUUACCUUGCCCAAAGUGGAAAAUUUGAUAUUGGUCUACAAUCCAGGGAGUCUAGAGAAGUCUUUCCCCUCUAGAACAGUGGUUCUUGUGGGUCCCCAGAUGUUUUGGCCUUAAACUCCCAGAAAUCCCAACAGCUGGUAAACUGGCUGGGAUUUCUGGGAGUUGUAGGCCAAAACACUUAGGGACCCACAGGUUGAGAACAACAGCUAUACAAUUUCUUCUUUUCAAUGCAAUGGAAGAUUUCUGUCUCUGAAAGAUGCAUCAGUGAUAUGUUGCAAUUGAGAUCUAACUGCAUAUCUUCCCUGGACAACCAGCCAAGAUGGACAGGGAUUGAGAGGACAAGUAGCCCGCUUUAUUCUUCCUAGCCAUUGGUCCACAUCUGCGGUAUUUAUCUGAUGUAAUCUUACUUAUGGAUUUGCUGAAUACCGUCCUGUUAGCUUCUCUGACAAUAAUGACAAUGUCUAAAUUGCGUCUUAACUGAGAGAUUUGUAUCUAUAAAAUGACCAUUAAAAGCAUAAUAGUAAACUGGAGAAGGUUCUAGAACUGGAUUUGGGGGAAGGUGUCUGAGUUAGACCUCCCAUCACUCAGAAUAGUUUGGCUGGAGGUGAAUUUGAAGACACUUUCUUCACUACUCAUAUUGCAAUGAAGCAAAGAUGUUUUCUAUAUCAUGUCCUCCAUCAAUGCUCAAGUCAUUAUCCUUAUAGUUUCAGCGUUCUCAGAUCUUCUGUAUAUAAAGGAGCUCAAUUAUUAACAUGUUGGAGAGGAUGUUUGGGAACGAUUGUGUCAAUAUCUUGACUCAGGCCUUGAUUUCAUCUACUGAGCAGGCCUGGUUGUUGUAUGGUUGGAACAGAAUUCUGCAAAAACCAAAAACCUAAGUUGUGGUGGUAUAAAACUGCUGGUGCUGUCAUAAUUUACGAACAAGUGGCCAGUUCUCAUUUAAUGUAUGCCUUGGGUUCCUCUAGACAUAUUUCUGAGAUUUUUAGUUUAGGGAUUUCUUCAUCUGAAUUAGAAUCUU